GGAGGUUCAGCCCAGGCCUGGCCCACCCCUUCUGAAAGGGACCUGGGCCCUCCUGCCUGCAUGGCUGCACCUCUGUCUCUCAUCUUUGUCAUUGGGUACAAGGUCCCCCAGCUUUUGGUCAGCAGCCGCUCACCUCCCCAGCCCUCCCUGUCCUGGGCCAUCCUGCCUGUGGGUCCAGACCCUCCCCACAACUGUGGGUUCCUGGAGCCCGAGUCCGACCCAGAGUCAGCAUGUGCUCGGGUGGCGGGGCAGCGCAGUGAGCUCUGUUUUUCUGUCUCUCUGAACAGGUCUUCGCACAAUGAACUAGAAAAGCACAGGUGAGUCAUCCCUCCCACCCCAGCUCCUCCCCUCUGCCCUGUGAGCCGCCCAGUACCUCCCACCCCCCUUCUGCCGAGGGGUGCUGCACCCGCUCCCACUCCCCGCCUUUGUGUCCUGGGCUGGGUUCACCACGCCGCUGGGCUAUGCCCUUGUCUCGGGAAGGGCCAGUCUUGAUGGAAGAGGCUGGGCUCUGUUCUCGGGCACUGCCACGCCGGAAGGCUGCCGUGGGGAUCCAGGCCCUGCUCUUGGGAACUCAGUCUAGUCUGGACUGGCGGGCAGGGCCCCUUGCACUGGGUGUCGGGGCUGGCGCCCUGGAAGAGGAGCUCCACCUGUUUGGGGGUGUCUGAGCCAUUUGGGGAGCAGCUCCUUCGCCCUUAGGAUGCUGCCUCCCGCCAGGAAGGUGCGGCCCUCUUGGUUGGGGGCUCCUGCGCCCUGGAACCGCCUUCCAGGAGUUCCCUGUAGAGCCUUGUCCUUGGCAGUGGGGUGAGCCACCAGUCCCAGGCCAUGGGGGCCUGUUGGGAAGCUCCGGGCCAGGACAGGAUCAGGGGGAGAGGGCCUCGUGCCCACCCACUGACUGCAGAGCCGGGUCUACUCUGGCCCCCUCUGAGGAGCGAGGGCCUCGCAGUGAAGCACAAGUGGCAACACGGGUGCCGGAAGAGGCUCUGCCCUCUGGCCUCGGGGCAGCGCCAAGGCCCUAUGCUUCCUCACGGCCCUCCUCGCCCCUGCUGGCCCCGGCCUGGCUGCUCGGGCGCAGGCCUCUCUCUUCAGGGGGACGCGGCACCGUCAAGCCCCGCGCCGUGCAUGGGUGUCCUCACA
rnacentral:lncRNA from 1 species